UACGGGGGGUGCGAGCGUUGUCCGGAAUCACUGGGCGUAAAGGGCGCGUAGGUGGUUUGAUAAGGGUGUGGUGAAAGUCCGGAGCUCAACUCCGGAUCUGCCGUGCCGACUGUCAAACUCGAGGGCUGUAGAGGCAGACGGAAUUCCGGGUGGAGUGGUGAAAUGCGUAGAGAUCCGGAGGAACACCAAAGGCGAAGGCAGUGUCCUGGGGAGUACCUGACGCUCAGGUGCGAAAGCCAGGGGAGCGAACGGG
rnacentral:rRNA from 1 species